ACGCUGUACUACUCACCAGCGGAUCCCUACAACGCUGCGCAUAUGCAUGAACACAAUGAAAAUGUAAAUGCCAGUCGUUGCAGGAGUUCGCAUACAGUAGUAAAAUGCGC
rnacentral:pre_miRNA from 15 species